AUUCACCAAAAUUUCAUCCUAAUACCGCAAAACUGAGCUAAAGCAGCAAUCAUGCAUAGAGUAAAGGAGUAUACUAACAAAAUCAUGAAGGCGGUGCCGGAAGAGGCAGAGAGUGUGUCAACUGAGAGAUUUACUACACCAGUUAGGAUGUUUGCCUAAGGAAUGAACCAAGCAUAUUUUGAUUGAAUGCAUCUUCAAGAACCAGGUUCUUUUCAUAUGAAAUAAACCCAGCUAGUGUGAGAAUAGAUAUAACCUGUUUUUAAAAUAGCCACCGCCAUCAAAAGCAUGUAAUCAAUUAAUAUCCUACCAUUCGUCGAGAAACUCUUUCAACAUAGCUGUCAAGAAUGAUUGCCAUAAUCCUAUGCAGCAAGAACCCAAACUUUUACCACUUGACUGCUCCUACUCUUGCCUUUUGAACUAUUGUCGAAGAAUAGAUUGUAACCCAAGGAAACACCAAUCAGGUACAUACCCCAGUAACCAAAUAUGCUAUAAACACCUUCCUUAUUCUGACUGAUGAUACCACCGUUUCUUUCAUUAGAAAUGAGAUACUCAUUCAACCCAAAAGAGAGCCACUACCUGUAAGCACAAGCAGACCAGCUAAUCCACAAUACUUAGGAUGGAUCCUGAUAACGGACGUAAGGAUCGAAAUUGCUGCAAGGGUGAAAAAGAAGUUCCAGUGCACGCCAUAUUCUCCUACAUGUACCUGAUAAUCAACACCUGAUGUCGAUAUGAGACGAGCAAAACCAAGAAAUAUUAGAGGGCUUAUAGACAUCAGUGCUUUAUUCCAGGUCCUAAGGACACACAUGAAUUUCGUGCUUGUCUAGAUACCAGUGCAUUAGCCACUACAAAAGACCCUACUCCGAGAUCCAUCAUGCCACAACCAUAUGUUUCAGCCUUGGCAUAACGUCUAGGGAAGAUUUUGAAGUCCACUGCUAAUAUGCACAGGCAUGUUACUAGAACCUUCAAAACACCCCAUCACCAUUAACUUCAAUAAGAGAAUGUGGCAAGAAAAACAGGUGUAAGAACUCAGAUAUGGUACCUCUUAAACAUGGUGAGGAUAGAUAUCAGCAUUACAAGAGAAAGUGCACAAGCACAAGCCCAUUCAGCUAAAACCGUGAAAAUCAGAAGAACUGGCAAUACAAUACUGAGGUAAUCUAUAGCCAGUGUAGAGAAGUAAUGCACAAAACCUUUAUGACCAGGAAGGGCAUCAUCAUUUUUCUUCAAUGAAUUCUUCCUAGUAUUAUCUAAAACAAGACAAAAAUAAGGGAAGAAGCAAUCACUUUCCAGAUCUACUCUGAACAAGCGCGGCGAUCUCCAGCAGGGAAGACCCCGUCAAGUUGCUGACGAA
rnacentral:sRNA from 1 species